rnacentral:misc_RNA from 1 species
UCCUCUUUACAGAGGCAGUUUGUUUUGAGUCCCCGACUUGACUCGCUGGUAACAAAACAUGAGGGUUGCGCUCGUUGCGGGACUUAACCCAACAUUUCACAACACGAGCUGACGACAGCCAUGCACCACCUGUGCAACACCUUCGAAAGCGACCGCUUUUCGGCGGCUUGCAGUUGCAUGUCAAGCCCUGGUAAGGUUCUUCGCGUUGCAUCGAAUUAAGCCAUAUGCUCCACCGCUUGUGCGGGCCCCCGCCAAUUCCUUUGAGUUUCAACCUUGCGGCCGUAGUCCCCAGGCGGUUCACUUAAUGCGUUAGCUGCGGCACCGAAGGAAACCCCCCGACACCUAGUGAACAUAGUUUAGGGCCAAGACUAC